rnacentral:rRNA from 1 species
CAAAACCAGUUUUUUUGAUUUUUUUAAAAGGUUGGCCCCCCCUUUGAAAUUAAAUAAAAGGCCCCCGUAUUUUUAAUGUGGUAAGGGAGCCAAAACCUUUUUUUUUUAAAUGAGGGUUUGUAAGAAAGGGUGGGAGUAAAAAAAUUUUUUUUAGGUUUUUUUUUAAAAUUAAUUUUUUUGGUAAAAAGGUUAAAAUUUUUAUUGGGGCGGAAAGACCCCAUAGAUCCUUAAAAAUUUUUUUUUUUUUUGUUUUAGUUGUUUUUUUAAAUAAAAUUUUAAUUUUUUUAGUUGGGGGGAUUAUUAAAAAAUUAAACCUUUUUUUUUUUUUACAUUUUUUUAUGGUUAUUUGAUCUAUUUUUUAGGAUUAUAAGAAUAAAGAUACCUUAGGGAUAACAGCGUAAUAUAUUUGGAGAGUUCUUAUUGAUAAAUGUGUUUGCGACCUCGAUGUUGGAUUAAGAUAAAUAGUUGGAGCAGAAAAUAAUCUCUACGUCUGUCG